GAUGAACGCUGGCGGCAUGCCUAAUACAUGCAAGUCGAACGAGAGGAAGGAAAGCUUGCUUUUCUGAAUCUAGUGGCGAACGGGUGAAUAACACGUAGGUAACCUGCCCAUGUGCCCGGGAUAACUUCUGGAAACGGAUGCUAAAACCGGAUAGGUAGCAGACAAGCAUUUGACUGCUAUUAAAGUGGCUAAGGCCAUGAACAUGGAUGGACCUGCGGUGCAUUAGCUAGUUGGUGAGGUAACGGCCCACCAAGGCGACGAUGCAUAGCCGGCCUGGGAGGGCGGACGGCCACAUUGGGACUGAAACACGGCCCAAACUCCUACGGGAGGCAGCAGUAGGGAAUUUUCGUCAAUGGGGGGAACCCUGAACGAGCAAUGCCGCGUGAGUGAGGAAGGUCUUCGGAUCGUAAAGCUCUGUUGUAAGAGAAAAACGACAUUCAUAGGGAAUGAUGAGUGAGUGAUGGUAUCUUACCAGAAAGUCACGGCUAACUACGUGCCAGCCGCCGCGGUAA
rnacentral:rRNA from 1 species